rnacentral:rRNA from 1 species
GACGAACGCUGGCGGCGUGCUUAACACAUGCAAGUCGAACGAUGAAGCCGGAGCUUGCUCCGGUGGAUUAGUGGCGAACGGGUGAGUAACACGUGAGCAAUCUGCCCUUGACUCUGGGAUAACUGCGGGAAACUGUAGCUAAUACCGGAUACGACACCUUGGGGCAUCCCAGGGUGUGGAAAGAAUUUCGGUCAAGGAUGAGCUCGCGGCCUAUCAGCUAGUUGGUGAGGUAAUGGCUCACCAAGGCGACGACGGGUAGCCGGCCUGAGAGGGUGACCGGCCACACUGGGACUGAGACACGGCCCAGACUCCUACGGGAGGCAGCAGUGGGGAAUAUUGCGCAAUGGGCGAAAGCCUGACGCAGCAACGCCGCGUGAGGGAUGACGGCCUUCGGGUUGUAAACCUCUUUCAGCAGGGAAGAAGCGAAAGUGACGGUACCUGCAGAAGAAGCACCGGCUAACUACGUGCCAGCAGCCGCGGUAA